rnacentral:lncRNA from 1 species
GUAUUAAAGCGGGCCACGAAGUCUCUUAGUGUCUCUGUCUCAUCUUGUUUGAUCGAGAAGAGACUGUCGGAUGUUCGUGAUGGCCUUCAACUUGUGCUGAAGUGGAUCACGAAGGAAUAUUCGAGCUACUUGAAAGAAUUGAUGCUUUCCGACUAAAGCUCGGAGUACCAGGCUCGAGCAGCCUUCUGAAGAGUUGCCAGGAAGCUAAUGCAUAUGAGGACAUCGAUUGCCCCC